rfam:Trichobilharzia regenti genome assembly, scaffold: TRE_scaffold0000747
GCGUCGGUAGCACAGUGGUUAGAACUCUCGCCGACCAUGCACAUGGUCCGGGGUUCGAUCCCCUGCCGACGCA